UAAUACAGAGGGUGCAAGCGUUGUUCGGAAUUACUGGGCGUAAAGCGCGCGCAGGCGGAAGUGUGAGUCCCGAGUGAAAUCCCGCCGCUCAACGGCGGGGCUGCUUAGGAUACUGCACCUCUGGGGACCGGUAGAGGCUGGUAGAAUUGCAGGUGUAGCGGUGGAAUGCGUAGAGAUCUGCAAGAAUACCCGUGGCGAAGGCGGCCAGCUGGGCCGGAUCCGACGCUGAGGCGCGAAAGCGUGGGGAGCAAACAGGAUUAGAUACCCUGGUAGUCCACGCCGUAAACGAUGGGCACUAGGUGCCGGGGGGAGCGACCCCGUCGGUGCCGCAGCUAACGCGAUAAGUGCCCCGCCUGGGGAGUACGGCCGCAAGGCUG
rnacentral:rRNA from 1 species